UUUAUUCGACGCACGCGCAGAACCUUACCAGCCCUUGACAUGUCUAUGACCGGUACCAGAGAUGGAACCUUCCCUUCGGGGCAUAGAGCACAGGUGCUGCAUGGCUGUCGUCAGCUCGUGUCGUGAGAUGUUGGGUUAAGUCCCGCAACGAGCGCAACCCCCGUCCUUAGUUGCUACCAUUUAGUUGAGCACUCUAAGGAGACUGCCGGUGAUAAGCCGCGAGGAAGGUGGGGAUGACGUCAAGUCCUCAUGGCCCUUACGGGCUGGGCUACACACGUGCUACAAUGGCGGUGACAAUGGGAUGCAAAGGGGCGACCCCUAGCAAAUCUCAAAAAGCCGUCUCAGUUCGGAUUGGGCUCUGCAACUCGAGCCCAUGAAGUUGGAAUCGCUAGUAAUCGUGGAUCAGCAUGCCA
rnacentral:rRNA from 1 species